ensembl:lncRNA
AUGUGAGGGGUAAACGCUGGGAUUAACAACAGGGGGAAAACUGAAGCUGGUGCCUCGCUUUAUAGAAAUCAAUGCACUGACCAGUGCUGACGCAAGCCAUGGGGGAGUACACUACCCUUUAAAAUUGAAAGGAUAUUAGGAUAUUACCACAACAUUACUCUUAAGACAUCACAAUAUAUAUAUAUAUAUAUAUAUAUAUAUNAUAUAUAUAUAUAUAUAUAUAUAUAUAUAUAUAUAUAUAUAUAUAUAUAUUUAUUUAUUUUUUUAAAUAUGACUUAACCUGAUGGAGCACCCACUGAGUCAUUCAGGCAGUCUCUCGCACGCACAUCCUGUUAGGUAUGUUUUGUGCCAUUGAUAAUCCUCGUCGUUGUCUUCCUCAAUAAAUAAAGCAAUUCUUCACGCUAGGGUGUCGGCGGUGAAUCCAGUGGAGAGAAAUCCCCCCACAACUAACUACAAACUGGCAUUCAAAUCUGCUUCCAUUUUGUUAGCAAUGCCCCAACUUGCAACGAUCCAAUCAAUUCCCAAAAGACAAAAUCAAGUCCUGCCCUCUCAUUUCAGAUUUUCACUCGGGUAGACGUCACAGUAGAGAAAAAAAAAAGACGAAAAUCCCCACACCUGUCUAUAAUGAUACAAACACCACUCUUGUAACACUCGGCUAAUCAAAUAGAUGUAUAACAGACAUUAAUCCAUUAUUACAACAUUAAGACGUCAAAUGAAAUACUGUUACCGUGGUUUAGAAAAGUGUGGAUUUUUUUCCCUUUUUUCUUCAUUCUUGUUCAGUGAUUAAUCCAUUGUUCUUUCUAUUUAAGAUGGUCUUUAGAGAUUGCAUUAAAGUUGCAUUAAAAUCCUGACAUCAUCCUUCAUUGCCAUACAAUAUGGGUUGGAACAAAUUUCAUGUUUGGAGGAGGAGGAGGAGCAACAAAGGCAAUACCCUCAUGUCCUACAGUUUUGGGAUAAAAUCCAUCCUUCAUUAUUGUGGGAGAAAUGGCACUGAAGCAAGAACGUCUUUUUUUUAAGCAGUUGAUACAUGGUUUAGAUUAUUUUAAAUUUUGAACAUUGUGUAUCAAAAAGCCUAUUUCAUCUGUAAUUACAUUGUCUGUAUUAGCUUUGUUCUGUUUGUUUGUUUAUUUAUUAAUUUAUAUUUAUCUUGUAAACUGAAACAAUUGCAAGUAACCUAAUGUGAUAAGAAAGUGAUUAAUAAG